AAACAAUUGAGUUCAUUACCGGCAAUCGAGCCGGGAUCCAUCCGUCUAGUUAAACAAUUGGUGGCACGCCACUAACGCAGACUUCCAUAUAGCGGCCGCCUGCCACAGGCCUGGGCUAAAUGGGGCUGUCACUGGGUUCACGUUGACAAGCCGGAGAGAGAGACAAGUCCCCGGGGGGUAGGACCUGUGACAACACGAUUCUUCUGCUGUCUACCCAGACCCCCGCCUGCUCUCUGGCCGGUCUGAGCUCUGAGGGACAAGGACCGGAGCACCUCCAACAGCCUGGUCCGGUUUGAAGGGGGGAGAGAGUCAAAGAAUCAUCCCAUCUCCGAGGCUGUGAAAGCGCGCCUGGGGAUGGAUCGGGUGUCCCUGAUCCACCAAAGCCUCCCCGAGCUGCCUCUACUUACAGCCUCCCAAUCCAUGUCCUGUACAAGCCAAC
ensembl:lncRNA